UGCGGUCAGGCCUUGGAUUAGCCGGCCCACGGGCUGAGUAACACGCUGGAGCUAACCUGUCUCCUUAACUCUGGGAUAAGUCCUGGGAAACUGGGUCUAAUACCGGAUAUGACUCCUCAUCGCAUGGUGGGGGGUGGAAAGCUUUAUUGUGGUUUUGGAUGGACUCGCGGCCUAUCAGCUUGUUGGUGAGGUAAUGGCUCACCAAGGCGACGACGGGUAGCCGGCCUGAGAGGGUGACCGGCCACACUGGGACUGAGACACGGCCCAGACUCCUACGGGAGGCAGCAGUGGGGAAUAUUGCACAAUGGGCGCAAGCCUGAUGCAGCGACGCCGCGUGAGGGAUGACGGCCUUCGGGUUGUAAACCUCUUUCAGUAGGGAAGAAGCGAAAGUGACGGUACCUGCAGAAGAAGCGCCGGCUAACUACGUGCCAGCAGCCGCGGUAAUACGUAGGGCGCAAGCGUUAUCCGGAAUUAUUGGGCGUAAAGAGCUCGUAGGCGGUUUGUCGCGUCUGCCGUGAAAGUCCGGGGCUCAACUCCGGAUCUGCGGUGGGUACGGGCAGACUAGAGUGAUGUAGGGGAGACUGGAAUUCCUGGUGUAGCGGUGAAAUGCGCAGAUAUCAGGAGGAACACCGAUGGCGAAGGCAGGUCUCUGGGCAUUACUGACGCUGAGGAGCGAAAGCAUGGGGAGCGAACAGGAUUAGAUACCCUGGUAGUCCAUGCCGUAAACGUUGGGCACUAGGUGUGGGGGACAUUCCACGUUUUCCGCGCCGUA
rnacentral:rRNA from 1 species